rnacentral:piRNA from 1 species
UGCCUAUUUCAACGACUCGCAGCGCCAGG